rnacentral:rRNA from 1 species
GAUGAACGCUGGCGGCGUGCCUAAUACAUGCAAGUCGAGCGAACGGACGAGAAGCUUGCUUCUCUGAUGUUAGCGGCGGACGGGUGAGUAACACGUGGAUAAUCUACUUAUAAGACUGGGAUAACUUCGGGAAACCGGAGCUAAUACCGGAUAAUAUUUUGAACCGCAUGGUUCAAAAGUGAAAGACGGUCUUGCUGUCACUUAUAGAUGGAUCCGCGCUGCAUUAGCUAGUUGGUAAGGUAACGGCUUACCAAGGCAACGAUGCAUAGCCGACCUGAGAGGGUGAUCGGCCACACUGGAACUGAGACACGGUCCAGACUCCUACGGGAGGCAGCAGUAGGGAAUCUUCCGCAAUGGGCGAAAGCCUGACGGAGCAACGCCGCGUGAGUGAUGAAGGUCUUCGGAUCGUAAAACUCUGUUAUUAGGGAAGAACAUAUGUGUAAGUAACUGUGCACAUCUUGACGGUACCUAAUCAGAAAGCCACGGCUAACUACGUG